rfam:Yersinia pestis CO92 complete genome
GAAAUAAAAUCAUAAUUCCCCUUAUCAAAGGAGACGAGCGACAUGGCGAAUACCACAAUGGGCGUAAAGCUU